rnacentral:tRNA from 1 species
GCCGGAGUGGUGAAAUUGGUAGACGCAGCGGACUCAAAAUCCGCCGGGGUAAAACCCGUGCCGGUUCGAUUCCGGCCUCCGGCACCA